UCAGGUGGCUUUAGCCUUGGGGUCCCACCUCUUCCCAUCCCGAACAGAGAAGUUAAGCCCAAGCGCGCCGAUGGUACUGCACCGCAAUGUGGGAGAGUAGGUCGCCGCCUCUU
rnacentral:rRNA from 1 species